UUGGAUCACUAAAAUGAAAAUGUAGAGUCUUGAACUUGAGCCAAUUUGUGUCCUUAGCAUUUUGAGGUGUCCACGUUCCUAAUCCAUGCCAUGCCAAACAUUGAACUUUCUGAAAUGAUCAUCUUGAAAUAACAUUAGUUCAAUGAGCUAUCUGUUGUUAGGAAUUACCAAAACCACCCAGGGAUAGUUGCACUUUCAACGGGUCAGAAUCUGUGGAGCAAUGAGGUCGGCCCGGUGAGAUACCAACGCGACGGUGAAGAGCACCUUAGAAUAGGACCAAAUUUUGCACGCAAGUGCUUGAGAACAUAGCAUAUGACCCCACAAAAAUCCUCCUUAAACAGAAGUAGUCUGAUAGGUCGCUCAUGGCAAAGAUGAACUCGGAUCAGAUAUGUCUAAUGCAGAAAAAAUAUUCGUAAAUUGAUGCACUUUUUGGACGUUUCCCGGAGUUUGAACAAUUGGAUUGAGCUAAAAGUUUGAGGGGUUGCAAUCCUGACAAUUCUGCAUAAUCUGAACGGUUGGAUCUUCCAAACGAUGCAGUACUUUGUUUAUUUUUGACUUUUUAAAACUCGAAUCAUUAUUCUUUUUUCUCAAUAAGUGUGAGGCAUAUGCUUGCACUAGUUGAGUGGCUGACUAACGCAGACAAACGAUUUUUACUAUUUUACCUGGUAUGCUUCAGAUUGGUGUUUUUGAAGUGAUCUCUAAUGCAUAAUUUCUUUUGUCUAUGACGGACAUUGAUUUGUUACCAACAUAAUAUUGUCAUCCGCUCUAAACCUUGGCAAUGGAAAUUUUAACUCCAUAAAAAUAUUUAUUCUUUCUUCACCUUCAUAGCAGUGGGACUAAAAGGAUUGCAUGUAUUACUCCCAUGCUAGUUAACUUCUCAAGCUUGCAGGAAGGAUAAGUAUACAUUUUUGGAGGUUGGUAUUCAAUGAAAGCUAUUUUUGCAAGGAUCUACAAUUUGGAGAAGAAGCUCACAUCAGUGCUCAUACCCGUGGUGCAUAAGUUGAAGAAGAAGCUCUCCACCUGGCGGGCAUCGAUGCUUGGUGCGUAGCCCAAUAUCCCUUGGUGGGUUGGACAUCCGAGAUCUCCAUCGUGCUGGUGUGUUCAUGCAUGAUGGCUCUGGUUGCAAUGCACUAACUGAAGGAAAUAUGCCCUAGAGGCAAUAAUAAAGUUAUUAUCUAUUUCCUUAUAUCAUGAUAAAUGUUUAUUAUUCAUGCUAGAAUUGUAUUAACCGGAAACAUAAUACUUGUGUGAAUACAUAGACAAACAGAGUGUCACUAGUAUGCCUCUACUUGACUAGCUCGUUGAUCAAAGAUGGUUAUGUUUCCUAUCCA